rnacentral:lncRNA from 10 species
AAUGUGAUCUGGGUUCUGAUAUUAUCUCUGCGCUCUGCAGUGUGCCAUGGGCACAUGAGGAAUGUCAGAAGUCAUAACCAUGCCUGAUGACAACAGUUUCCUUUGGCCUGGUGUGGUAUUGUAAAUUGUCGCUUUUAGACCAACUUUUUAGUGAUAGACCCUCUCUAUGCUUUUUGUUGUAAGCUACUGCAGAUUCUUGCCACAGGUAUGAAGUAAAUUCUGUUAAUAGCCUUGAUUUUUCACCUGUGCCACCAUAUAUAUCUUUGCCAUGGCCUCAUGAUGGAUGGAAUAUACUUCCCUGCCCCUUGACUUGAUACUUGACCAUGUAACUUUUUUGGAACAAUGAAAGAUGAUGGAAAUGUCAGUAUACCUGUGCUCAGGUAUACUGUGCUAGGUCUUAAGAAGCCUCCAGUGUUUCCAGCUAUACAUCUGCAAUCACCAUGAGAAGGACCUGCUCAAGCAAACCACUAGUCACAGGAGGAGAAUGAGAGACACAUGGAGCAGAGCUGCCCUCAGAGUCCACCUAGAUUAGUUGUCAGCAGACCUCCAGUGGACUUGUAGAAACACAAGCAAUAAUAAAAGGCUGUUGUUUUAAGC